CUUCUUCUGUACGAGUUUGGCUGUCGUAUAAUGAAAAACCUGACACCACUCUAGUAGCAAAUGGUCUAUUUUUAAUACACAAAAAACGAUUUUUUCGGCAUUAUUUUCUGCAUCUAUUGUAAGUUUUCAAUCUAAUCCGAGGACUUUAAUAAGUGGUAUUUAUUAACUGUCAUUAUGGUUUUCUUGCUUCCGUUGGGGAGAAAGUUGCGGUGGCAUAAAAUAAAAUGCAAUUUUUUAUAUCGAAAAUAUGUUAUCUCGUAUAAAAGAUAACGUAAUGAAUAUCAUUUUUUUAAAAAAUGUACAAGCGUACAGAGAUAUGUUAUAACAAUGGUGAACGAUGCUACAAACAGUUUUCCUUAUUAUUAUUAUUAUUUCGUAUAAAAAACGUAUUAAACGAUGCAAGUUUAAUCAAUUCACGUCGAUUACUAUGCCGACAAUAUAUUCAAACUACACGCAUUACCUAUGGACUUUACGGCGUAACGGAUAGAAAAUGGUUGUGACGUCGGUGAACACGUGGUACCAUUGACCGUAACCAUGGCAAUACACGACGAAGGCGACGCAGGAUUCGUGGCAUGUGAAUCUUGGGUGUGGUGUGGACUCCGAG